GGUAAUUUGUACUAAAUUUAGGGCCAGCUGUAUUAAUCUUGGCAAAUCCGUUUCCAUUGUACUCUGAAUAUGUUUUUAUUCAUAUUUGAUCUCUUUACUUUUUCUAGAUAUGCCGUGAGUUCUGUUGUAGUUAUUUUGUUUUUUCCUAACCGAGAUGCUUAUACAUAAACCCCCCACGCCAUGCAUAUAUCUUCCUUUGAUUUACCCAAGUGAUGAUGUUGUUUUUUGCUUGCAGGUACCCAUAUGCAAGACCCUGCGAUAUAUGACAGUACCCAUAAAGAAAGGUAAAACGCUCUUACCUAUUUUCGAUGUUGACAAUUGGAAAUCCAUUUACCAGCUUCUAUCUAUAGGUUGGUUAUACACCCACCUUUCAUAUAUUUGUACCCAAGUUAUCCCUGAAAAAAGGACUCUUUCUGGAUUCCUGAUUAAAAUUUAACCUGGAACAUAAACGCCACUAAUGUGAUCACGUGUACCGCUACUUAGAAACUGCUUGAAAAUUGUUGGAACUAUCUUUCUGAGGCUGACCUCCUUCCUUUUUUUUUUUCUCUUUUUCUUUUUAUCUGUCCUGACCUCGAUGUAGCAAGAAGUUUUUGGUGACAAUGGUGACCUUUGGUGCACUAAAUGUGAAAUAAAAGUUGAAAUGCCUAUCUAGUUUCCUACUAUGCUUUGAAGUCGAAGACAACACCGGCCAGCCAUCUUUCUUGCUGUUGAUAGCGAUGUCCAGAAAGCAGUACGACACACCACAUCUGAACUCAUGAGCGGGUCAUAGGCUAUUGCAAAAGAGGCAAAGAUGCCUGGAUUCUCACAGAUGCUCAAUGAUGUUUUUGGUUUUCCAAUUUGCUCUCAAUUCUUUCAACAUGCAGCGGAAAGUAGCUACCUCUGCCACCCGAGAACAUUGAGUUCUGGGUACAUGCUUAUUAAGGUUUCAGUUCGUAUUGUUAUCCGUGUUUCAGGCUUACUUUGAUUAGUUCAGUUUUCUACUUUUCAUCCCUGUUCAGCAGAAACCGGUGUUAUAUGUUUUCAAUUGUUUUUAUCCUCUAUUACCAUAUUAUGUCGCAAAACAGUGGAUUAAAUGUUUUUGAAUGUUAAAGA